CACGUAGGGCGCAAGCGUUGUCCGGAAUUAUUGGGCGUAAAGAGCUCGUAGGCGGUCUGUUGCGUCCGCUGUGAAAACUCGGGGCUUAACCCCGAGCCUGCAGUGGAUACGGGCAGACUAGAGGUAGGUAGGGGAGAAUGGAAUUCCCGGUGUAGCGGUGAAAUGCGCAGAUAUCGGGAGGAACACCGGUGGCGAAGGCGGCAUCCUGGACCGGCAUUGACGCUGAUGAGCGAAAGCUAGGGGAGCAAACGGG
rnacentral:rRNA from 1 species